rnacentral:rRNA from 1 species
UACGUAGGUGUCGAGCGUUUGCCGGAUUUAUUGGGCGUAAAGAGCCCGCAGGCGGCUUGGCAAGUUUGAGGUGAAAUCUCCCGGCUUAACUGGGAGGGGGCCUCGAAAACUGCCAGGCUUGAGGCAUGGAGAGGGAUGCGGAAUUCCCGGUGUAGUGGUGAAAUGCGUAGAUAUCGGGAGGAACACCAGUGGCGAAGGCGGCAUCCUGGCCAUGUCCUGACGCUCAGGGGCGAAAGCGUGGGGAGCAAACAGG